GAUGAACGCUGGCGGCGUGCCUAAUACAUGCAAGUCGAGCGAACAGAUGAGGAGCUUGCUCCUCUGACGUUAGCGGCGGACGGGUGAGUAACACGUGGAUAACCUACCUAUAAGACUGGGAUAACUUCGGGAAACCGGAGCUAAUACCGGAUAAUAUAUUGAACCGCAUGGUUCAAUAGUGAAAGACGGUUUUGCUGUCACUUAUAGAUGGAUCCGCGCCGCAUUAGCUAGUUGGUAAGGUAACGGCUUACCAAGGCGACGAUGCGUAGCCGACCUGAGAGGGUGAUCGGCCACACUGGAGCUGAGACACGGUCCAGACUCCUACGGGAGGCAGCAGUAGGGAAUCUUCCGCAAUGGGCGAAAGCCUGACGGAGCAACGCCGCGUGAGUGAUGAAGGUCUUCGGAUCGUAAAACUCUGUUAUUAGGGAAGAACAAAUGUGUAAGUAACUAUGCACGUCUUGACGGUACCUAAUCAGAAAGCCACGGCUAACUACGUG
rnacentral:rRNA from 1 species